UAGGGUUCAUCCAUCCAAACAGCAGGCAGUGCCUAUCGACGUGUAGCAGUUACUCGUUUGCCGUGGAAGGAGAGCUAGUCGGUAGAAUUUGCCACGACGUCGAGCCACCGGCGAGGCUGUCACAGGUGGGCGUCGCUGUCACUGCCGGAAUAUGCGGUGGCAUUGCUCUCGGUAUCAUCAUCGGACUUGCCAUCUUCUUCUACCUCAGGAAUCUGAAAAUAAGCAGGAUAUCCGCUGUCAGCAGAGACCUACACAAGCACCAGCGGAUCAGCUCGGCGGAUGCGAGCUUACCGGUCCAGCUUUCGCAGCGUGGUCGCCAGCGAGCCGGGGGGCAGUCUAGACAAGAGCACGUCGCACGCGGACAGCUACUGGAGUCUCGGCACGCCCAGCACGAGAAACACAGAGCUGAUCUGCGAAA